GGACGGUUAGCUCAGUUGGUUAGAGCGCCUCGUUUACACCGAGGAGGUCAUAGGUUCGAAUCCUAUACCGUCCACCA
rnacentral:tRNA from 1 species